UACGUAGGGGGCAAGCGUUGUCCGGAAUCAUUGGGCGUAAAGAGCGUGUAGGCGGCCCGCUAAGUCCGCUGUGAAAGUCCAGGGCUCAACCCUGGAAUGCCGGUGGAUACUGUCGGGCUCGAAUCCGGAAGAGGCGAGUGGAAUUCCUGGUGUAGCGGUGAAAUGCGCAGAUAUCAGGAGGAACACCAAUUGCGAAGGCAGCUCGCUGGGACGUCACUGACGCUGAGACGCGAAAGCGUGGGGAGCAAACAGG
rnacentral:rRNA from 1 species